AUUGAACGCUGGCGGCAUGCCUUACACAUGCAAGUCGAACGGUAACAGGUCUUCGGAUGCUGACGAGUGGCGAACGGGUGAGUAAUAUAUCGGAACGUGCCCAGUCGUGGGGGAUAACGCAGCGAAAGCUUUGCUAAUACCGCAUACGAUCUACGGAUGAAAGCAGGGGACCGCAAGGCCUUGCGCGGACGGAGCGGCCGAUGGCAGAUUAGGUAGUUGGUGGGAUAAAAGCUUACCAAGCCGACGAUCUGUAGCUGGUCUGAGAGGACGACCAGCCACACUGGGACUGAGACACGGCCCAGACUCCUACGGGAGGCAGCAGUGGGGAAUUUUGGACAAUGGGCGCAAGCCUGAUCCAGCCAUGCCGCGUGCAGGAUGAAGGCCUUCGGGUUGUAAACUGCUUUUGUACGGAACGAAAAGACUCUUUCUAAUAAAGAGGGUCCAUGACGGUACCGUAAGAAUAAGCACCGGCUAACUACGUG
rnacentral:rRNA from 1 species